rnacentral:rRNA from 1 species
AGAGUUUGAUCCUGGCUCAGAACGAACGCUGGCGGCGUGCUUAAGACAUGCAAGUCGAACGGAAAGGUCCCCUUCGGGGGACACUCGAGUGGCGCACGGGUGAGUAACGCGUGGGUAAUCUGCCUUCGGGUCUGGGACAACCCCGGGAAACUGGGGCUAAUACCGGAUAAGACCACGGAUCCUUCGGGGUCUGUGGAAAAAGAUGGCCUCUCCUUGGAAGCUAUCGCCUGUUGAUGAGCCCGCGUCCCAUUAGCUUGUUGGUGAGGUAACGGCUCACCAAGGCUUCGAUGGGUAGCUGGUCUGAGAGGAUGAUCAGCCACACUGGAACUGAGACACGGUCCAGACUCCUACGGGAGGCAGCAGUCGGGAAUUUUGGGCAAUGGGCGAAAGCCUGACCCAGCAACGCCGCGUGAGGGAUGAAGGCCUUCGGGUCGUAAACCUCUGUCGGGAGGGAAGAACGGUUGCCAUUCAAAUAGGUUGGCAGCCUGACGGUACCUCCAAAGGAAGCACCGGCUAACUCCGUGCCAGCAGCCGCGGUAAUACGGAGGGUGCAAGCGUUGUUCGGAAUCAUUGGGCGUAAAGCGCGUGUAGGCCGCUUGGUAAGUCGGGUGUGAAAUCCCGGGGCUCAACCCCGGAACUGCAUUCGAAACUGCCUAGCUAGAGUCUCGGAGAGGAAGGCGGAAUUCCCCGUGCAGAGGU